ncrna:unclassified sequences RAGATH-18 RNA
CUUGUGGACUGUUAUAUCAAAUGAGAGUAGACUUUACGCUUCGAAGUGUAAAGUCAAAAUCAGACAGGUUGAAACAAGAA